CAAGUCAGUUAAGAACACAUUCUUAUUUUCCAUGACGGCCUAGGAACAGUGGGUUAACUGCCUUGUUCAGGGGCAGAACCACAGAUGUUUACCUUGUCAGCUCAGGGAUUCAAUCUUGCAAGUUUACGGUUAACUAGUCCAAUGCUCGAACCACCUGCCUCACAAGGAGCCUGCCUGUUACGCGAAUGAAGUAAGAAGCCUAGGUCUUGAUCAUCAGGCCUGGGUGGUUGUGGCUCCACAAGUGAACACUUCUCUGCCGUUAGGUGUGAUGACUGGCAUAAGGUGUCAGCGAGAGCUUUGCUGUUGGCAGCCAUCAUCUCUCCCCUGGGUGUCUGUGGUUUUGCCUGAGUAGCAGAGUCAGUCAGAGGGAGGCAGCAGGCUGGAGACUAAGCUGUCUGGGGCCUUUGGCGGACUCUCUCUCUCUCCACCAGAAGCCCGUGCCAUAUUGUGACCUUCAGCCAGAGCAGACUGAAUCAUCGACAGUGGGAACAGAUUGAGUGAGCAGAUGAGCCGUGUGUAGCCGGGCAGAGGGCAGGCCUGCGGAAUAGUACUCAAAUACCCCUGUGCCAAUCUGUACAACUGGCAUCAAAUGGACUGUUUCGCACCCAGGCCUUUAACCCCCUAAGGUUGAUGUCUGCGCCCCCAUGAAAAUCUAAUUAGUAUUAUACAAAAAAUCACAAUAAAAAUCUGUCAGUUUAAGCUA